rnacentral:rRNA from 1 species
UGGGGAAUUUUGGACAAUGGGCGAAAGCCUGAUCCAGCAAUGCCGCGUGUGUGAAGAAGGCCUUCGGGUUGUAAAGCACUUUUGUCCGGAAAGAAAUCCUUGGCUCUAAUACAGUCGGGGGAUGACGGUACCGGAAGAAUAGGCACCGGCUAACUACGUGCCAGCAGCCGCGGUAAUACGUAGGGUGCAAGCGUUAAUCGGAAUUACUGGGCGUAAAGCGUGCGCAGGCGGUUUGCUAAGACCGAUGUGAAAUCCCCGGGCUCAACCUGGGAACUGCAUUGGUGACUGGCAGGCUAGAGUAUGGCAGAGGGGGGUAGAAUUCCACGUGUAGCAGUGAAAUGCGUAGAGAUGUGGAGGAAUACCGAUGGCGAAGGCAGCCCCCUGGGCCAAAUACUGACGCUCAUGCACGAAAGCGUGGGGGAGCAAACAGGAUUAGAUACCCUGGUAGUCCACGCCCUAAACGAUGUCAACUAGUUGUUGGGGAUUCAUUUCCUUAGUAACGUAGCUAACGCGUGAAGUUGACCGCCUGGGGAGUACGGUCGCAAGAUUAAAACUUAAAUGAAUUGACGGGGUCAUAGCUGUUUCCU